rnacentral:rRNA from 1 species
UCCUACGGGGCGCAGCAGUGAGGAAUAUUGGUCAAUGGCCGGAAGGCUGAACCAGCCAAGCCGCGUGAGGGAGGAAGGCGCAGAGCGUCGCAGACCUCUUUUGCCGGGGGACAAAAGGCCGGACUCGUCCGGUCCUGAGGGUACCCGGAGAAAAAGCAUCGGCUAACUCCGCGCCAGCAGCCGCGGUAAUACGGAGGGUGCAAGCGUUACUCGGAAUCACUGGGCGUAAAGAGCGCGUAGGCGGGAUAGCAAGUCAGAUGUGAAAUCCUAUGGCUUAACCAUAGAACUGCAUUUGAAACUGUUAU